rnacentral:rRNA from 1 species
GACGAACGCUGGCGGCGUGCUUAACACAUGCAAGUCGAACGGAAAGGCCCUGCUUUUGUGGGGUGCUCGAGUGGCGAACGGGUGAGUAACACGUGAGUAACCUGCCCUUGACUUUGGGAUAACUUCAGGAAACUGAGGCUAAUACCGGAUAGGAGCUCCUGCUGCAUGGUGGGGGUUGGAAAGUUUCGGCGGUUGGGGAUGGACUCGCGGCUUAUCAGCUUGUUGGUGGGGUAGUGGCUUACCAAGGCUUUGACGGGUAGCCGGCCUGAGAGGGUGACCGGCCACAUUGGGACUGAGAUACGGCCCAGACUCCUACGGGAGGCAGCAGUGGGGAAUAUUGCACAAUGGGCGGAAGCCUGAUGCAGCAACGCCGCGUGCGGGAUGACGCCCUUCGGGUUGUAAACCGCUUUCGCCUGUGACGAAGCGUGAGUGACGGUAAUGGGUAAAGAAGCACCGGCUAACUACGUG